UUUAUACUCCCUCCGUCCAACAAAGGAUGUCUCAAGUUUGACUAAAUUUGAAUGCAUCUAUGCACUAAAGUCAUGUCUAGAUACAUCCAAAUUUUAACAAACUUGAGACAUCUUUUGUUGGAUGGAGGGAGUAUAGU
rfam:Brachypodium distachyon strain Bd21 chromosome 4, whole genome shotgun sequence.